rnacentral:rRNA from 1 species
CAUUAAUGUAUACAAUGGAGGCGCGAGGGCUGUUGCUGACUCUUUGAGGGGUCGUGCACGCUCGAGUGCCCUCACACAUCCACUCACCCCCUUGUGCAUCACCGCGUGGGGCUUCUUUCAGACUUGUUCUGAGAGGGGGCCUGCGUUUUUAACACAAACACCUAGUGUAGAAUGUCCUUUUCACGCGAUGACGUGUGAUCAAUACAACUUUCAACAACGGAUCUCUUGGCUCUCGCAUCGAUGAAGAACGCAGCGAAAUGCGAUACGUAAUGUGAAUUGCAGAAUUCAGUGAAUCAUCGAAUCUUUGAACGCACCUUGCGCCCCUUGGCAUUCCGAGGGGCACACCCGUUUGAGUGUCGUGACAUCCUCAACCUUCUUGGUUUCUUGAUCAAAGAAGGCUUGGAAUUUGGAGGUUUAUGCUGGCCUCUCUGAAGGCCAGCUCCUCUCAAAAGGAUUAGCUGGGUCCACUUGGCUGACCCCUCGACGUGAUAAGAUGCUUCUACGUCUUGGGUUUUGCUUCAGUCCCUUUGGGGAAACCCUGCUUCUAACUGUCUCAAAAGAGACUGUGUUUCGAGCCUCUUAAGGAAGCUCGAUCCACCGAACCUUGACCUCAAAUCGGGUGAGACUACCCGCUGAACUUAAGCAUAUCAAUAAGCGGAGGAAAAGAAACUAACAAGGAUUCCCCUAGUAACUGCGAGUGAAGCGGGAAAAGCUCAAAUUUAAAAUCUGGUGGUCUUUUGGCCACCCGAGUUGUAAUUUAGAGAAGCGUCUUCCGCGCCGGACCGUGCACAAGUCUCCUGGAAUGGAGCGUCAUAGAGGGUGAGAAUCC